UGGGGAAUAUUUGACAAUGGGCGCAAGCCUGAUCCAGCCAUGCCGCGUGAGUGAUGAAGGCCCUAGGGUUGUAAAGCUCUUUCACCGGUGAAGAUAAUGACGGAAACCGGAGAAGAAGCCCCGGCUAACUUCGUGCCAGCGGCCGCGGUAAUACGAAGGUGGGUAGCGUUGUUCGGAUUUACUGGGCGUAAAGCGCACGUAGGCGGACUAUUAAGUCAGGGGUGAAAUCCCGGGGCUCAACCCCGGAACUGCCUUUGAUACUGGUAGUCUUGAGUUCGAGAGAGGUGAGUGGAAUUCCGAGUGUAGAGGUGAAAUUCGUAGAUAUUCGGAGGAACACCAGUGGCGAAGGCGGCUCACUGGCUCGAUACUGACGCUGAGGUGCGAAAGCGUGGGGAGCAAACAGG
rnacentral:rRNA from 1 species